rnacentral:rRNA from 1 species
UACGUAGGGGGCAAGCGUUGUCCGGAAUUAUUGGGCGUAAAGCGCGCGCAGGCGGUCGUUUAAGUUUGGUGUUUAAGCCCGGGGCUCAACCCCGGAUCGCACUGAAAACUGGGCGACUUGAGUGUAGGAGAGGAAAGUGGAAUUCCACGUGUAGCGGUGAAAUGCGUAGAUAUGUGGAGGAACACCAGUGGCGAAGGCGACUUUCUGGCCUAUAACUGACGCUGAGGCGCGAAAGCGUGGGGAGCAAACAGG